rnacentral:lncRNA from 1 species
CCAAAAUUUAACCCGGUUCGAUUUAAUGGGGGGGGAGGGGCGGGUUUAGCGCUGUGCCCAUCCCCCCCUCCCCCACCGCGACCCCUCCCCGAAAUGUUUUUAUGGGGGUGGGUGGGGGGAGGGGGUGAAAAGACCCCCCAAAACCCCCAGGCCCCGCCCCCACCCCCUAAAAUUCAGCCCGGUUUCAUUUAUGGGGGGGGGGAGGGGCGGUUUUAGCGCUGUUCCCAUCCCCCCCUCCCCCACCGCGACCCCUCCCCGAAAUCCCAAAUUGUUUUUUGGGGAGGGGGAGGGGCACAGAUCCCACUGCGGCCGGCGGACAUGGAGGGGUCUUUACUGUGGGGGGAGGGGCGGGACGCCCCCCCCAGGGAGAUUUUGGGGUCGUUUUCCCCAAUUUUUGUCCCCCCCCGGUGACACCGGAGGGGUCCCGAGCAGCGGAGCGGGGGAGGGGAGGGGUCAGCCGAGGGUCCGGGAUGGAUUUUGGGGGGGCUGGAAUGGAUCCUGGAGGUCUGGAAUGGAUUCAGGAUGGUCCGGAAUGGAUUCCCUGGGUCAGGAAUGGAUUCCAAAGGUCCGGAAUGGAUUCCAAAGGUCCGG